rnacentral:rRNA from 1 species
GAUGAACGCUGGCGGCGUGCCUAAUACAUGCAAGUCGAGCGAACGGACGAGAAGCUUGCUUCUCUGAUGUUAGCGGCGGACGGGUGAGUAACACGUGGAUAACCUACCUAUAAGACUGGGAUAACUUCGGGAAACCGUAGCUAAUACCGGAUAAUAUUUUGAACCGCAUGGUUCAAAAGUGAAAGACGGUCUUGCUGUCACUUAUAGAUGGAUCCGCGCUGCAUUAGCUAGUUGGUAAGGUAACGGCUUACCAAGGCAACGAUGCAUAGCCGACCUGAGAGGGUGAUCGGCCACACUGGAACUGAGACACGGUCCAGACUCCUACGGGAGGCAGCAGUAGGGAAUCUUCCGCAAUGGGCGAAAGCCUGACGGAGCAACGCCGCGUGAGUGAUGAAGGUCUUCGGAUCGUAAAACUCUGUUAUUAGGGAAGAACAUAUGUGUAAGUAACUGUGCACAUCUUGACGGUACCUAAUCAGAAAGCCACUGCUAACUACGUG